CCUACGGGGGGCUGCAGUGGGGAAUAUUGCACAAUGGGCGCAAGCCUGAUGCAGCCAUGCCGCGUGUGUGAAGAAGGCCUUCGGGUUGUAAAGCACUUUCAGCGGGGAGGAAGGCGGUGAGGUUAAUAACCUCAUCGAUUGACGUUACCCGCAGAAGAAGCACCGGCUAACUCCGUGCCAGCAGCCGCGGUAAUACGGAGGGUGCAAGCGUUAAUCUGAAUUACUGGGCGUAAAGCGCACGCAGGCGGUCUGUCAAGUCGGAUGUGAAAUCCCCGGGCUCAACCUGGGAACUGCAUUCGAAACUGGCAGGCUAGAGUCUUGUAGAGGGGGGUAGAAUUCCAGGUGUAGCGGUGAAAUGCGUAGAGAUCUGGAGGAAUACCGGUGGCGAAGGCGGCCCCCUGGACAAAGACUGACGCUCAGGUGCGAAAGCGUGGGGAGCAAACAGGAUUAGAUACCCCGGUAGUC
rnacentral:rRNA from 1 species